rnacentral:tRNA from 1 species
GAGAUUUUCUACGAACUGCUAAAUCGUUAUGCCGAACUUAAACCCUCGGGACUCUC